UUCAGUGGCAUUCCUGUGCCCCCAGCCUGCCUUGGCAUGAAUCCCCCCUUGCUGCCCAUCCUUUUGAGCCAGCAAAGCAAGGAAGUGGAAUUCAAUGGACAACCUGAUGAGAUUAUCCACUGAGCUCUUUCCAGCAGUGAGAUAAGAAGAGUCUGGAAAGAAGUUGGAGCAGCCCUUAUCUUCUGGAUAUUUCAAAGGGCUCAAGUUUGCAAAUGGAUUGCAUAGACCUGCUCAGCUUUCAGCACUUACCACACGGAUUUAAAACAAAUGGCAUUGCUUAUGAGACAGAACAGAAGCAAAUAUUUGUGAGGCAAAUGCCCCAUGGAGGUGAUGCCGCUGCCGGGCUGUGCCAGGAGCCCCCUCGUACAGAAGCUCCCACAAUGGGAGGCCAGGCAGGAGCCUCCACGUGGAAUUUUGGCUUUUCCUUGGUCCUCCCCUUGGCAAGGUGGUCUCCCAGCCGCGGGAAAAGAGCUCACACCUGGUAUUUGUUUAGCCCUGGAAGACACUGACUGGAUUCCAGUGGAAGGAAAACUCUUCUCCUUUGAAGGCCCUGGUGUAAUUUAUUUCACUAUUUCUGGCUGGUUCCUGAGAAACGUGAUCCAUGAGUGAAGGACUGAAAUAAGCUUGCUCCAAUUUGUCUGGUUUUCCAUUAUGAAGUGUGGCACAGAAGGAGCAGGAUUUCCAGCUCGUUCUGCUGUGUGUCAGCCAGGAAAAGCCAUGGCCCCAUGCAGAUGGAUCUGAGCAGCCCUGCCAUGGGGAGGCACUCAGGAAGGGACAGGGCUAGCAGUGUUCCCAAAAUAGCUCAGGGAAGUUAUUAACAUCUGUAAAUUCUGCUCCUGUUUCCCUGACAGCAGCAGCUUUGCUUGAGGAUCUCGACGUCGCUGCCAGCGUAAGAUCUUUAAGUGCCUGUUGCAGUGAUCCCUUCCCAAAAACACAUCAAACACUAAAAUAGGAGAGGUCUGAGCUCCCAGGUCAGAGCUUUUAUAAAAAUAUACAUGAAACAGCCUCCUGAGCCUCUUAAUUCUGUGGAGCUGCAGCCUUUUAUUCAAAAAAAGAAAAAACAGGGCUCGAUGAAAAUAAAGAUGUUUCCAACAUCAAAAAUGCACAUCAGCUCUGCUUCUGCAAAUUGUUUCAGAAGGUGAAUAUCCUGGUGAUAAAACUAACCAGCAUAUGAUGAACAAUAAAAAACCUGCCCCUGAUAAUUAUCAAAUACCCCUGAGCAGCUCCUUUGAGAACCUUCCCAAAAAGCACUUGCCCUUCUCCCCUCAGUGUGUAGAGGGGGAACUUUUUUACUUUCUUAAAACAAAACCAAAAUCAGUAGCUCAAAUGUGCACACAA